UCCUCUUAUUUCAGAACUCACUCAUCGUUUCCAGGUAAACUUGUUUUCUGUAAAUCAAAUAUUAUCUGUAAGACGAACAUAUGUUCAUCUUUAAACCUUUUCCAAGUUAAAUGUGUUUUUCAGAAGACAUAUUAUCCAUCUUUCCCUCCGUUAUUUUGUGUUUGAGAUGGAAUAUGUAUAUUAUUUGGUAAUAUACAUUAUUUUAAUAGAUACUAUAUGUUGACCGUAGCUAUCUGGAUGCAGGGUUUCAAAGAAAGAUUAUUAGCGAAUUCAAGUUUCUACAUAGAUUAGCCAUAGAAGAAGCUAUAUCGAUAACAACAACGCUCUUAGCAUAGUAUGGUAAGCGUAAAGAAAAUUUCUUUGAAGAGAUUGAUUAUGUUAUUACAGACACUACCAAGGGAAUUGUUGUUGAUUUCUUUACUGUAUGGCUUCCUGCUCUGACAUUGUCGUUUCUUUCAAUCGCUGGUGAGGCUAACGUACUUGAUAGCAUGGAAGCACUAAAGGGUCUUCUUAGUUCCAUUCCUGAUAAUGCAUUUCAGAAGAAUCUAGUUGGAAAGGAUUGGAAUUUGAGUCAUAAAGUUGCUUCAGUGCUCAUUGGUGGCUUGAAGCUUGGUAGUGUGGGUGUUAUUUCUAGCAUUGGAGCUGUGGUUGCAUCCAAUAUCUAGUAUGCAAUGCGCAAAAUACUUAAUCCAACCCUUGUCAAUAGUCAAGUGAAUAAAAGAUCACCCAUCUUCAAAAUAGCAGCAGUCUAUGGAGCUUUUCUUGGAACAUCAGCCAAUCUCCGGUAUCAUGUAGAGAGCUAGUACUUUAUGCUCAAAGUAAGCUUCUAUUUCCAUGUAAUAUGGUUACCUUGGUUUUGAACUAGAUCAAUCAUUGAUAACUCAUGACAAUACCUUCUCUUAUCAUUCCUGUAAAGAUGAAAUAAUACAUUGUAAUCAUAGGAUAUUAACCGAUAGGCAUCAACAACUUGUGGAACAACUUCCAUAUUUAUGAGGUUUAUGGGAAGGUGGUUCACUGAACUAAGGUCAACUAAUAAGAACAUUUUUAAGGGAAAUACUACAAAGACGAGCUUGAUCAACUGUUGAUGAGAUGUUGAUACAAAGCACUACCCAGUUUAUUUUUGAAAUGAUUAAGCACCUUGAUAGCUACUUUAUUGAUUUGUAGUUUUGAGCAUGAGCUGUGACCAAGUGUUGCUAACUGACAACAACUACUUCAUUUAGUCUAUUCCAUAAAGUGCUUGCAGUAAUAUAGUCCACCUUUUUCAGUCUUCUUCUUUUUGGAUCCCCUUUCAAGUUCCAAGAUAAACCAUAGGUUUAUCUUCCCAUCUAUUAUACCUGUCUGAGGUUACUUUUCUAGAGAGAAAUGCGGCAUAGUUUAUUGAUGCUAAAAUUAUAUGUCAAUGGUCAUAGCUACAAUCUUGAACUGUUCUUGCAGUUAACUAUUGGAUGCAUUUUAAAAUUAACAUUUUUGGUGCUUUUAUCAAUGUACUUGACUUUAACAAUAAUAUCACUUGCAAUGCAGGUUAUUGCCAGAAUAGUGGAACAUCGAAUUUCAGACCAAUUUUCAGAUCAAACAUUUUUCGUAAAUAUGAUAUCUUUUAUCGUCCGAACAGUCAACUCCUAUUGGGGAACCGAUGUUAGAUGCUUCUACUUACUAAAUAACUUUUUCUGUUUUUUUCCUUUCUUAUUUCAUUAAUUCGAUUUUUGGUAAAGAUGAUGGCGUGAAGAAUUCAAUGGCACACAUAUUAUUACUAACUGUGAGAUACAUAUAUAAAUACACACACACACACACAUAAAAGCUUAUAUAUACAUAUAUAUAUAUAUAUAUAUAUAUAUAUAUUAUUCCAUCUAUAGCACAAUUACUGUGUCCUAAAUUAUGUUGUCGAGGUGAUUGUAGUUUGUGAAGCAAUGGAUAGAUUACAGGCUAAGAAGAGUGAACCAUCCUCUGACAAAACUCCAAAUUCUUCUAAUACUGUUGCAUUGGGUUUCAAGACUCCAAAAGGUGCCAAUAUUGAUGAAAUCAACAAUCAGUGAGAUCUUAAUCCUGCAGUCAUUCUGUGUUCAUAUAUCUCUCGGAAUGUUCUGUAAGGAGAUCAUUACAUUUUACAUGUUUUGUAUGGUUUUCCUGUGGCUUAAAAUUAUAUUACAUUCAUUAUAGAUCUUCCAAAUUCUAGUGAGCAUAUAACGUAGGGACUAGAUUAAUCUACUGAGGAGAUAGAUUAAAGUUUUGUUUCUUCCACAUCUCUAUGUCUCUAUGUGCAUGGCUAUUGAUUAGUGAGCCACGGUUCCACAUCUCUAUGUUUCUUGAACGCCCUCUAAGCCUAAAUUAUUCUCUAUUUAUUGAUGUUUAGUUUAAAAAUCAUUCGUUUAUACUCACUUGACAGUGUGAUUUACUUAAUAUGCCUAAUGUCGUCAACUGUGUAUCAAAUUGCAUGUUAUUUGUCCAAAUUUAGUAAUUUUGAGUUUGUCAAAAUAAAAAUCAAGGACCGUGUAAAUAGGCAUACAGAAUUGUGUGCCAAGUGUAAUAGAAGAUUUAGUUUUUUUUCACAUAAUAGUUACUUCAAAGUUGGACACACAGAGCAUGUGUAUCUUUGUCAUAGUUGUUGUAAUCUUAUACACGAACAUUGCACAUGGUACCAUCUUGUGUAUGUUUGUCAAACUAGUAUGUACUUCAUGUUAUCUUGUUUAAGGCAUUUUAUUUAGUCAGUUGAAGGACUUUGGAAUCUUUCUAUAUGCUCAACCAUUUAAUAAAUAAUGUGGGUAGUCUGUUGGUUUAAUAAUAUUAGUACAACGUAGCAGCUCUAUUAUCUUUGUGUAUUGAUUUUGGCAUUAAGUGCCUCUAGUGACCUAUUUGCUUCAUUUUCCUGACUUGCUAUUAUUUUUAAAUGUGUGCAGGAAGACUGCUUCUAUGACCUGCCUUACAAUACUGGGUAUCAAAUUUUCGUGCUACUUUUACGGAAGACAAGGGACGAAAUUAUGAAGUGUACUCUCUCUCUAUAUGUAGAUAUUUACUUUGAUUGAAGAACUGUGGUAGCUUUAUAUAGUUAAUUGUAAAGAUAAUGAAUGAUUAUGUAGUGGAUGAUUUUAUUAA
rnacentral:lncRNA from 1 species